UACGGGGGGGGUAAGCGUUGUUCGGAAUUACUGGGCGUAAAGGGCUCGUAGGCGGCCAACUAAGUCGGACGUGAAAUCCCUCAGCUUAACUGGGGAACUGCGUCCGAUACUGGAUGGCUUGGAUUUGGGAGAGGGAUGCGGAAUUCCGAGUGUAGAGGUGAAAUUCGUAGAUAUUCGGAGGAACACCAGUGGCGAAGGCGGCUCACUGGCCCGUAACUGACGCUGAGGUGCGAAAGCGUGGGGAGCAAACAGG
rnacentral:rRNA from 1 species